rnacentral:lncRNA from 1 species
AAAAAUGCAGAAGACCACAACACAAGACUGAAAACGAGUUGACGAGAUCGAAGCAUUACGAGGACAGAUAAAAAAUUUCAUUAUAUUUAAUUUUAACAUUGGGUUAAAUAUGUUUUUAGUCCCUCUUUCAAAGUUUUGUUCAUUUUCAUCCUCUUCCUUAGGAAACUCGAAUUUUUAGUCCUCGAAAAGCAACGACAUUAAAUUUUCUCUAAGGUGGCUAAUGGUGUGUCACGUAUGAUGCCAAAUUUCAUGUUAAGUGUGUG